rnacentral:lncRNA from 1 species
GUGCAGACGGGCUGAGUCCGAAAGGAGUCAGCGAAGGGAGAUAGGGGUGGGGCCGUUUUAUAGGAUUUGGGUAGGUAGUGGAAAAUUACAGUCAAAGGGGGUUGCUCUCUGGCGGGCAGGGGCAGGGGUCACAAGGUGCUCAGUGGGGGAGCUUCUGAGCCAGGAGAAGGAAUUUCACAAGGUAAUGUCAUCAGUUAAGGCAGGAAUCGGCCAUUUUCACUUCUUUUGUGAUUUCUUCAGUUACUUCAGGCCAUCUGGAUGUAUACGUGCAGGCUUGGGCUCAGAGACCUGACAAUUAAGUUUCGGUUUGCUUAGGGAAAAAACUGAGAUUAAACUUUUUUUAAAUUAAGGUUAUUACAUCUGUAUAUCUAGAAAGAUGUAUGUGCUUCUUAAAGUAUUUGUGACAUUGAGUUACAGGGCUUUGACUCCUGGGUCUAAAAAGGAUACCAAGUCCUGCUAAAUCUUAAACACUGACAGCAAUUAUAGCUUCAUCCUCAGGCGUGGUAGAAGAUGUCAAUCAAAAUAAACUGCAUUCCUGAGACACAGGGCCAGAAAUUAAAGCUAUUCAACUCCUCAAGGCCCAGGGACUAUCGUGGAAGACGUGGACAUGUGAGAUUGUAAGGGCUGAUUUUGAGAGAUAAAAUAAGUUCAGUUUCUCUAUAAAUUAAUCAUUAAUGUCAAAGACACACUGAUGCAAGACCAGCAUAUGUGCCCCUAUGUCAAAUUAACAAGGUUUUCUUGAAGCAUUAACCGACUGCUUAAUAAUAAUAAAGGUUAUAAAGGUUAUAAAAGGCUUAUGGAAGUCAUAUCUUACGGUCAAGAUUAAAAAUCUUAUACAUUGUUUAUAAAAUUUUGAAAAACAAAUUUAAUUGGCUUUAUGAUGUUUCUAUUAGGGCUUAUUGUUUGCAAAAUUAAGUCUCCUCUCAAAGAAUGAAGGUUUUCUCCUUUUUUUGAAGUCCUUGAGUUAUCACUUUGGUCAAAGGAAUGACUUAUUUUACAAUGACCUGUGACAUCACGUGUUUUAAAUCUUUGAUAUUUGACAAACUUUCCAAAAUCAAAUUGUAAAUUAUGUCUUUCUCUGACCUAAUUAAUCCUUUAAGAUAUUAGGCUCCCUAAAGUCCAAAAUAACAUAAUUUGGCUUAUUUGGUAUAAAAAUUAUACAGGAAACAUUGUCAAAUAUGAACUGGUGUUUGGGUUUUUUUGGGCUGUAUUUGUAUAAAUAUGGAUAUAUGGGACUAUAAUUCUAAUAUGCUUAGUGUACAUUAUCAGUAAUAAUUAUAACUGUUAUGUUAAGUUAUUGUGUGCCACAGAGGUAAUGAAUUUCCUUGUCAGUUGUGUCCUUGACUAUGGCUGCCCCUAAACUUUUUGUCAUCCAUAGACAAUUGUUGUCUUGUUUUGGUCCUCUUUAGAAGGUGGUUUUAUAAUCAUCUAUAAAACUCUUAACAGGUGCUCUUGAGUACAAGUUUCUGAUAACUUUGGAGAUUGUGACAUCAGAAUAGAGGAAAAACUUUUAGGACUCAUGGAGAAGUGAAAUGUUCAUGAACAUCAGGCAGAACAGGAAUUAACUGCAUGGACAGAACUAAUACAAAACUGAGGACAUGAGACUUCACAACCUGCUAAAAAUGAACUUUCCUAAUAACUGGGGACCUACCCGUCUAGGAAUAAACCAUCCUAGCCAUGACAGAUCAGAUGAAACCUGAGACCAGAGACUCAUUUUCUCCUAAAAUGCUUUCUCCAAAAGAUUUUUAAAAAGAAAAGGGGGAAAAUAUGAAUGGAAAAUAAAUCUUGGGGCCCCAACAUCACUAAGCUAAAGGGAAAAGUCAAGCUGGGAACUGCUUAGGGCCAACCUGCCUCCCAUUCUAUUCAAAGUCACCUCUCUGCUCACUGAGAUAAGUGUAUAUCUGACUGCCUCAUUUGGAGAGGCUAAUCAGAAACUCAAAAGAAUGCAACCAUUUGUCUCUUAUCUACCUAUGACCUGGAAACCCCCUCCGCACUUUGAGUUGUCCCACCUGUGAAAGGAAAAUAAAUCUUGGGGCCCCCAAAUCACUAAGCUAAAGGGAAAAGUCAAGCUGAGAACUGCUUAGGGCCAACCAUCCUCUCAUUCUAUUCACAGUCACCCCUCUGCUCACUGAGAUAGAUGCUAUCUGAUUGCCUCCUUUGGAAAGGCUAAGCAGAAACUCAAAAGAAUGCAACUUUCCAUCUCUCACCUAUCUGUGACCUGGAAGCCCAGUCCCUGCUUUGAGUCUUCCUGCCUUUGCUUCAAGCUGUCCCGCCUUUCCAGACCAAACCAAUGUACUUCUUACAUAUAUUGAUGUCUCAUGUCUCAUGUCUCCCUAAAAUGUAUAAAACUAAACUGUGCCCCUACCACCUUGGGCACAUGUCGUCAGGACUUCCUGAGGCUGUGUCAUGGGCACAUCCUCUACCCUGGCAAAAUAAACUUUCUAAAUUAACUGGGACCUACCUCAAAUUAUCUGGGUUCACACGCCUUUGCCUCGAGUUGUCCCACCUUUCCGGACUGAACCAAUGUACAUCUUAACACAUACUGAUUGAUGUCUAAUGUCUCUCUAAAAUGUAUAAAACCAAGCUGUGCUCUGACCACCUUAGGCACUUGUCAUCAGGAUCUCCUGAGGCCAUAUUAUGGGUGCACGUCCUCAACCUUGGCAAAAUAAGCUUUCUAAAUUAACUGAGACGUGUCUCAGAUUUUCGGGAUUCACAAUCUCCACUCUUCACCAAACCUACAAUAAAAAACCCUCAGCUUCUCAGCUUUAACUGUUUCUUCGGGUCUUCAUUUUCUUAUGAAGGUUCAUGUGUCACAUAAAACUUUAAAAAAUUUGUACACUUUUCUCUCAUUAAUCUGUCUUCUGUUAUAGGGCCUCAGCCAUGAACUUGGAAUGGGUAGAUUAAAAAAAAUAUUUUUCCUCCCCUACACAUUUUUUUUUUUUUUUUUGAGACGGAGUCUCAGUCUGUUGACCAGGCUCAAGUGCAAUGGCGUGGUCUUGGCUCACUGCAACCUCUGCCUCCCAGUUUAAGCAAUUAUCCUGCCUCAGCCUCCUGACUAGCUGGGACUACAGGCGCGUGCCACCACACCUGGCUAAUUUUUUUGUAUUUUUAGUAGAGAUCGGGUUUCAUCAUGUUGGCCAGGCUGGUCUUGAACUCCUGACCUCAUGAUCCGCCCGCCUCGGCCUCGCAAAGUGCUGAGAUUACAGGCGUGAGCCACCACACCUGGCCCUCCCCUACACAUUUCUAAGUAUCUUACCUGAUUUUCUAUGGCACCUUUGGGUUGCAGAACCUUAGCUGUAGGAGAAAUGGUGGUGACGGCCAAUGUCUGGCACUGACUUUAACAGAGUACAGAUGUGUAUGUAAAUAGUACUUAUUUUAACAAAAUAGAAAGUUCAAGAAAGAAAUACAGCAACAAAAGUGACAAUUAGAUUGGAAGAGACCCAUUCUUGUUUGCUUGUUUUCUCCAUAAGCCAUCUAGCUUUUUUUUUUUUUUUUGUGAGACGGUCUCACUGUCUCCCAGGCUGGAGUGCAGUGGUGCCAUCACAGCUCACCUCAGCCUUGACCUCCCAGGCUCAAGUGAUCCUCCCACCUUAGCCUCUCAAGUAGCUGGAAGUAUAGGCAUGUACCACCAUGCCCAGCUAAUUUUUUUUUAUUUUUCAUGGAGACAGGGUCUCACUAUAUUGCCCAAGCCAGUCUUGAAUUCCUGGGCUGAAGCGAUCCUCCUGCCUCAGCCUCCCAAAAUGUUGGGAUUAUAGUCAUGAGCUACCAUGCCCAGCCCUAACUCCAUUCUUAAUUGUCACUUAGCCUACACUUUCACUUCAUUGACAUUUAUAGGCUGACAACAAGCAGAUGAAGAUACCAUUGAAACAGUGCCACCACUCACCCAACUGUCCUGUCAGUCAGGAAAAGCACAUCCCCACUGGGUCUCAGAGCUCUCGGCCCGUUGUCUUUGCACUGUGUGACCACACACAAAACCAGGUAAAGUAUUUACCUGCUUUGUUCAGGAGGCUGUCCUUGGCUCUCUAGUUUCUGAUAGGACCCCAUUUUAAACUCUCAAGCCCCCUUGUCCUUGUUCUUUGAUAGUGUCAUAGCCUCUAAACAUAUCACAAUUAUUAAUAUAAUUAAAUACUUAUUUCCCUAUAGAUUUGUUUAAAGCCUGCCUUCCCCCAAGAGAUGGUCAGGUCUGAAGGCAGGUUUGUUACAGAUGACAGGCUCUUGGGCUCAUCAUGUAAUAAAAGUUAACAUGGGGACAAGCAGAUUUCCAGAAAAGGCUUUUAUCUUGGGGCUUGUGCUCGAGUGCAGGGGAGACACCAGAGGUACAAGGACCCUCAAGCUGACUCCCUGAAAAGGUGGUAGGGAUUUUUUUUAUUAGGCAAACACAGGAAUUGGUAUCAUGGGUAGGGUAUGCAGGCUGGCCUGGGCAAAGCACGUGACGGGUAGGGGAUGCUGGUUAGCGUAUCUAGUUGUGAUGGUUAUCUUGAGUAAUGGGCCACCUGGGGGUCUGGCCAGCUGUAACAAGGCUGCAAAUCAAUUGUUCAGGGUUCCUUCCCUUCCCAUGAUGGGACAUUCUGAAACCUCGGUUUGAUGUUUAGAUUUCCUAAGGCCAGUUCCUGGAAUUCUUUUAAGUAAAAGGCAUGAUUAAACAUUAUGAGAGCACAGAAGAAUGGCUAUUUUCUUUGUAAGCCUGAAGCCUUAUCUAAAACCAAUUGUCAGCAAGGCAGGGGUGUGGGUCUUGUGAUCAGUGAGACAAGAAGAAAAAAAAAAACGUGAAAAAGGAACUGAGUUCCUUUUCUAUUCUAUCUGAGGUUACUCCCCACUGCACCCCCGGCACCUGACAUUGUGAGAGGCAUUUGAACCAGAGUGACUCCAUCUUGAAUAGGGGCUGGGUAAAAUGAAUCUGAGACCUACUGGGCUGCAUUCCCAGGAGGUUAGGCAUUCUUAGUCACAGGAUGAGAUAGGAGGUUGGCAGGACUGGUAUCACAAGAUACAGGUCAUAAAAACUCUGACCAUAAAACAAGAUGUGGUAUAGAAGCCAGCCAAAACCAAGAUGGUGAGAAAAGUGACCUCUAGUCAUCCUCACUGCUCAUUAUACUCAAAUUAUAAUGCAUUAGCAUGCUUAAAGAAAUUUCCACUAGCACCAUGACAGCUUACAAAUGCCAUGGCAGUGUUCAGAAGUUACCCUAUAUAGUCUAAAAAGGGGAGGAACCCUCAGUUCCAGGAAUUCCCCACCCCUUUCCCAGAAAACUCAUGAAUGAUCUACCCUUUAUUUAGCAUAUGAUCAAGAAAUAACCAUAAGUAUACCCAGUCAGCAGCGCGUGCCGCUGCUGUGUCUAUGGAGUAGCCAUUCUUUUGUCUCUUUUACUUCUCUAAUAAACUUUAUUCUAUGAAUUUGCCCCCAAAUUCUUUCUUGCGCAAGAUCCAAGAACCCUCUUUUGGGGUCUGGACUGGGACCCCUAUCACCAUGCCUGGCUCAAGAAACAUUUGUUGAGUAAUGAUUUAUAGUGACUUUCUAUGUGCUCAUGUCUCACUCUUGUUCCAGUACCUGUAUGCUAAGCAGCCAUGCUACUGUCCUUCUGUGCUUCCCUACAUUCCAAGUUCAAGGGGACAGGAUGGUUUAUUGUUUCUUAAGUGCUUGUCUUUCUGGUCCUGUUUACAUGCAUCAUUAGCCCACAGGAAAGCACUCUGUUACAAAUGACUUUAGAAAUCACAAUCAUUAAAAUUGAAAACUUCCAUUUAAGCCAGACUACCCCUUUGUGAUGUUAAAAGUGUUGCCUCUGAGCUUCCAACCCCCUCUCUAUGAGGCCUAUUCCAGCUUUUAACCUACCGUGGGUGCGGGCUUUUCAUUUGGAGCCUCUUGUGAUCUUCAAGCUGUAAUUUUCGCAAGCAGGGCCCUAAAGCUCUUUAAUUUUUUUGUUUACCAGAAUUACUCAUUUCAUUUUUGUAUGUGCUUGGUAGAUGAAUUUUCUGUGGCAUCUUACAAAAUAAGGCCAUAAUACCUUAUGGCAUUAAAAAAAAGUUGGGGGGGGAGCAAAACCACCACAAAAAAAUUAACUGAACAAUUAAAAUAUUUAAAUUAGUAUUAGAAAGCUUAAAUGUAGGCAACAACUAAGUCAUCUCAAGCACAUUCAACAGGAAAAAGUAGAAAACAUACUAGAUAAGAACGUCAGAGAAUGGGGCAAGGACUGGGGGAGGUGAAGGAGGUGCAGAGCUGGAUCCUGUCUUUAUUUGAAAAUUUGAUUUUGUGUUCAAAUGUGAAUUAUUUCAUUUUGAUUUUUUUUUUUUUUUUUUUUGAGACGGAGUCUUGCUCUUGUCGCUCAGGCUGGAGUGCAAUGGUGCAAUCUCAGCUCACUGCAACCUCCGCCUCCCGGGCUCAAGCAAUUCUCCUGCUUCAUCCUCCCAAGUAGCUGGGAUUACAGGCACGGGCCACCAUGCC